UACGAAGGGGGCUAGCGUUGUUCGGAAUUACUGGGCGUAAAGGGCGCGUAGGCGGCUUCGCUAGUCGGGCGUGAAAUGCCUGGGCUUAACCCGGGAGUUGCGUUCGAUACUUCGAGGCUAGAGUGUGGGAGAGGUUGGUGGAAUUCCCAGUGUAGAGGUGAAAUUCGUAGAUAUUGGGAAGAACACCGGUGGCGAAGGCGGCCAACUGGACCACAACUGACGCUGAGGCGCGAAAGCGUGGGGAGCAAACAGG
rnacentral:rRNA from 1 species